UUUUGGCCAAUGGGGGCAACCCUGAUCCAGCCAUGCCGCGUGAGUGAAGAAGGCCUCCGGGUUGUAAAGCUCUUUCGGCCGGAACGAAAUGGGCGGGACUAAUACUCCUGUCUGAUGACGGUACCGUAAGAAGAAGCACCGGCUAACUACGUGCCAGCAGCCGCGGUAAUACGUAGGGUGCAGGCGUUAAUCGGAAUUACUGGGCGUAAAGCGUGCGCAGGCGGUUUGUUAAGACAGGUGUGAAAUCCCCGGGCUUAACCUGGGAAUUGCGCUUGUAACUGGCAGACUGGAGUGUGGCAGAGGGGGGUGGAAUUCCAAGUGUAGCAGUGAAAUGCGUAGAUAUUUGGAGGAACACCGAUGGCGAAGGCAGCCCCCUGGGCUAACACUGACGCUCAUGCACGAAA
rnacentral:rRNA from 1 species